AAUUCGAUCAGUUCGUUGAACAAGAUAAAGUUCUCCAUAACUAUGCCCCGAUCCUCGAACUGCUACUUCGAUUAUGGCAAGCUUGUGAUCAUCCUUUUCUUGUUCUGAGCCGGUAGCGAUACUGAAUACUUUGCGGACGUGGGAAACCUUCUACUCUCAGUUCAUCAAGGUCUUUGGGGAGUUGUGUCACAAAGAGAGGCAAAUGCUCCCAUGUAUUAUCAGGAGCCAGAUAGAAUCUUAACCUCUUCAGGUUUGGAAGACUUGCUGCCAAAUCGUCCUUGAACUCGGACUGUGCAAUGUGUAGAUUUUGAAGGCCCAGAACUUCAAGGCAUGGGAACGAUCCAUCCAGACUAAAGAACUGGAUGCCACUGCAGUCUAUGUGAAGUUCUCGUAGCCGUUGAAAGCCCUUUAGCCAAGACAGGUCUUUCAUUGUCUCAUUGUUUGUGAUCUUUAAAAAUUGUAGCUGUGGCCAUUCAAGGCUUUCGGCAUACCGUCCUGAAGC